rnacentral:rRNA from 1 species
UACGUAAGGAGCAAGCGUUGUUCGGAUUUACUGGGCGUAAAGGGCGCGUAGGCGGCGCGGUAAGUCACUUGUGAAAUCUCUGAGCUUAACUCAGAACGGCCAAGUGAUACUGCAGUGCUAGAGUGCAGAAGGGGCAAUCGGAAUUCUUGGUGUAGCGGUGAAAUGCGUAGAUAUCAAGAGGAACACCUGAGGUGAAGACGGGUUGCUAGGCUGACACUGACGCUGAGGCGCGAAAGCCAGGGGAGCAAACGGG